GACGAACGCUGGCGGCGUGCUUAACACAUGCCAGUCGAACGGAAAGGCCCUGCUUGCAGGGUACUCGAGUGGCGAACGGGUGAGUAACACGUGGGUGAUCUGCCCUGCACUUCGGGAUAAGCCUGGGAAACUGGGUCUAAUACCGGAUAGGAGCCAUUUUUAGUGUGAUGGUUGGAAAGUUUUUUCGGUGUAGGAUGAGCUCGCGGCCUAUCAGCUUGUUGGUGGGGUAAUGGCCUACCAAGGCGGCGACGGGUAGCCGGCCUGAGAGGGUGGACGGCCACAUUGGGACUGAGAUACGGCCCAGACUCCUACGGGAGGCAGCAGUGGGGAAUAGUGCACAAUGGGCGCAAGCCUGAUGCAGCGACGCCGCGUGGGGGAUGACGGCCUUCGGGUUGUAAACUCCUUUCGCUAGGGACGAAGCUUUUUGUGACGGUACCUAGAUAAGAAGCACCGGCUAACUACGUG
rnacentral:rRNA from 1 species